rnacentral:rRNA from 2 species
AGUGGACGUUACUCGCAGAAUAAGCACCGGCUAACUCUGUGCCAGCAGCCGCGGUAAUACAGAGGGUGCGAGCGUUAAUCGGAUUUACUGGGCGUAAAGCGUGCGUAGGCGGCUUUUUAAGUCGGAUGUGAAAUCCCUGAGCUUAACUUAGGAAUUGCAUUCGAUACUGGGAAGCUAGAGUAUGGGAGAGGAUGGUAGAAUUCCAGGUGUAGCGGUGAAAUGCGUAGAGAUCUGGAGGAAUACCGAUGGCGAAGGCAGCCAUCUGGCCUAAUACUGACGCUGAGGUACGAAAGCAUGGGGAGCAAACAGGAUUAGAUACCCUGGUAGUCCAUGCCGUAAACGAUGUCUACUAGCCGUUGGGGCCUUUGAGGCUUUAGUGGCGCAGCUAACGCGAUAAGUAGACCGCCUGGGGAGUACGGUCGCAAGACUAAAACUCAAAUGAAUUGACGGGGCCCGCACAAG